GAUGAACGCUGGCGGCGUGCCUAAUACAUGCAAGUCGAGCGAACAGACGAGGAGCUUGCUCCUUUGACGUUAGCGGCGGACGGGUGAGUAACACGUAGGUAACCUACCUAUAAGACUGGGAUAACUUCGGGAAACCGGAGCUAAUACCGGAUAAUAUUUUGAACCGCAUGGUUCGAUAGUUAAAGAUGGCUUUGCUGUCACUUAUAGAUGGACCUGCGCCGCAUUAGCUAGUUGGUAAGGUAACGGCUUACCAAGGCAACGAUGCGUAGCCGACCUGAGAGGGUGAUCGGCCACACUGGAACUGAGACACGGUCCAGACUCCUACGGGAGGCAGCAGUAGGGAAUCUUCCGCAAUGGGCGAAAGCCUGACGGAGCAACGCCGCGUGAGUGAUGAAGGUCUUCGGAUCGUAAAACUCUGUUAUUAGGGAAGAACAAACGUGUAAGUAACUGUGCACGUCUUGACGGUACCUAAUCAGAAAGCCACGGCUAACUACGUG
rnacentral:rRNA from 1 species